rnacentral:misc_RNA from 1 species
AAGUCGUAACAAGGUUUCCGUAGGUGAACCUGCGGAAGGAUCAUUAUCGAGAGAGGGGCUUCGCGCUCCCGGGGGUUUCGGCCCCAACUCUUCACCCAUUGUCAAUUUACCCUUGUUGCUUUGGCGGAUUCCGGGGUAUGUCUUGCGUAGGUUUGUCAUAAACCCGUGCGAGAUGUGCCCCGGCGCCCGCCGGAGGCCCAUUGAAAUCUGCUUUAUCAGUGAUGUCCGAGUAAAAAACCAAUAAUAAAA